UCCCUGGUGGUCCAGUGGUUAAGACUCUGCACUUCCACUGCAAGGGGCCCAGGUUUGAUCCCUGGUCGGGGAG